GAACAUGGCUUCUCAAAAAUUGAGAUUUUGUUAUGACUUAUGUAAAAGAUCCUCCUUCAAAGGUUUUAAAUGAAUAUCCAUUUUUUGUUGGAUUUAUUAUUUGAAGGAUUUUUAACAAGAGAACAUAUGAUUGGUCUUCAUGAGAAUAAUUUGUGUGUCUACUCUCCAUAAAAUUAGAAUUUGGUCUAAGAAUAAUAGUUCUUGCACAUUAUGUUCAUAA
rnacentral:lncRNA from 1 species